GUAGGUGAACCUGCGGAAGGAUCAUUACUGAGAACUUGCCCUUCGGGGUAGAUCUCCCACCCUUUGUUUACAUACCUUUGUUGCUUUGGCAGGCCCGUCUUGCGACCGCUGGCUCAGGCUGGCCAGUGCCUGCCAGAGGACCCUAAACUCCUAGUAUUUGUCGUCUGAGUAUCGUAUAAUAAAUAAAACUUUCAACAACGGAUCU
rnacentral:misc_RNA from 1 species